rnacentral:rRNA from 1 species
UACGUAGGGUGCGAGCGUUGUCCGGAAUUACUGGGCGUAAAGAGCUCGUAGGUGGUUUGUCGCGUUGUCCGUGAAAACUCACAGCUCAACUGUGGGCGUGCGGGCGAUACGGGCAGACUGGAGUACUGCAGGGGAGACUGGAAUUCCUGGUGUAGCGGUGGAAUGCGCAGAUAUCAGGAGGAACACCGGUGGCGAAGGCGGGUCACUGGACCGGUUCUGACGCUGAGGCGCGAAAGCGUGGGGAGCAAACGGG